rnacentral:rRNA from 1 species
GAUGAACGCUGGCGGCGUGCCUAAUACAUGCCAGUCGAGCGAACAGACGAGGAGCUUGCUCCUCUGACGUUAGCGGCGGACGGGUGAGUAACACGUGGAUAACCUACCUAUAAGACUGGGAUAACUUCGGGAAACCGGAGCUAAUACCGGAUAAUAUAUUGAACCGCAUGGUUCAAUAGUGAAAGACGGUUUUGCUGUCACUUAUAGAUGGAUCCGCGCCGCAUUAGCUAGUUGGUAAGGUAACGGCUUACCAAGGCAACGAUGCGUAGCCGACCUGGGAGGGUGAUCGGCCACACGGGAACUGAGACACGGUCCAGACUCCUACGGGAGGCAGCAGUAGGGAAUCUUCCGCAAUGGGCGAAAGCUUGACGGAGCAACGCCGCGUGAGUGAUGAAGGUCUUCGGAUCGUAAAACUCUGUUAUUAGGGAAGAACAAAUGUGUAAGUAACUAUGCACGUCUUGACGGUACCUAAUCAGAAAGCCACGGCUAACUACGUG